rnacentral:lncRNA from 1 species
AUGAGCUCACAGUCACACAGAAGGGCCCUUCUACGAGGAGAGCGCCAAGCACUGGAGAGAAAAACAUGGCAAAAAGGGAAGGUUAGCUGUGGAUCCGGGAAGUGGAGGUGUUGCCCGCCCCGCUGGAGGAAGCUGGAGUUUUUGUUUGUUGGUGCACAGAAGCUUGGGGUUGGGGUGACAGCUCAUGAUGUGGCAUUUUCUGAGUCACGAUGCUCUCCACACGGAGGGUCACAUGCCCAAGGCGGAUGCAAGCACAGCAAGGCCAAGGUCAGGCUGAGCACAGAAAUGAAAGGGAAGCGGCUGCACGUGGGAAGACCCGGCAGGACCAAGGAAAUGAACACACACAGCAAGUCAAACACCAGAUCAGCUGAGAGGUGUGAAUUCUCCAGAAAUUUCAAAGUUCAAGUCUCCCUAAGACAAAUGGGGAUGUGCCCAAGUUGCUUUUGUACUUCUGGAUGAGAAAAAAGAAUAGACAAUUUUUUUCAGUCCCCAACACUGAUAGAAUCAGCAUAAUACACUCAAUACAGUGCUUUAGGAACUGCCUGGAUAUUUGCAGCACCUCUGGGGGUUGAAUGCCUGACAUCCUGAUGUGGGGACAACUUGAGAGUCAACCUGAUCCUGCUGUCAACCUCUGCCCUCCCCCCAUGACUUGGACCUUGGCUGCUUGGAUUGCCUUCACAAACCUGCAAGGGCAGCAGUAGGCAAUUUGGGGGUUGGCCAUGAUGGAUACGUUACGACACGCAUAUAUAUAUUAUAUAUAUUCAUUGCAAAUUCUCCUCCAGGGAAAAGCCCUGAACAAAGUGCUUCUAAAUUGUUUUCUAUUGUGUUAUGGAAGAGGCUGGGGUGGGGGGGGAGUUGAGAAACUGUACUGGAGAUGGAAACAGAUGUAGCAGCCAGCAAGGGAGGAUGACAGUUGCUAACAGCCCAUCCUGAGGGAAGGAGAUAGGAGGAAUGCUUAGACAACACACUGAUUGGGGUUUAGACACAGCAGAGCUACAAACAAACCUGGCUUCUAAUCUGACAAGUUGGAAAAUAUUUGGAUCACCAACUGCUGUUGGGAGGGAGCUGGUCUCUAAGGUGAAGGGUGAGAAAGAUCUGGGUGAGGAUGAGGCCCUUCUUGGCUCACAGGCUGAUGGAGUUUGGUAAAAGUCUCAAGGUCAUUGCCACCGAAGCAAAUUAAUAUGAACUUCCAUAGCUAAGGAAGAGCCAGACAAAAAUCAGAAUCCAGGAUUCCUGGCAGAGCCCUGUGCCCUUUCCAAAUCAGAAGUCAAGAACGAGUAAAAGUAGACAGUUAUAACCCCAAACUUCUAGAUUUUGUGGAGUCCCAUUUUCUAGCUGAUGAACAUACAAGAUCCUCUAAGAGCAGUGGCACAAAAUUCAUGAACUAAGGUUCAUGGCUUGGGCUCCACUCUAUUUUAAAAACACAUUAAAAUGCAAUUUUAUUUCUAACUUUAACGAUUAGACAAGUUCCCAUAAUAAUCUGGGUCUCUGGCUGCUCUGGGAAAAGUCAGUUGCUUGGUGGGAAGAGGAGAAGGAGUUCCCUCACCCUGCAGUUGAGGUCAAGUGGGCUGCCCUCACACACCUGCCUGGCUUGGUUAACUUACACCAUCUACCUGGCCUGUGUAGGUACUUUGCAACCCCUGGGACCGGGAAAGAGCCCUGGGCUGACAGUUGGUACUUCAUAUCACAGAAGUUAAUGGAGGGAAAUGGGCAGGAGAACACAGGGCAGGAAGGAGCAGCCAGCCAAGGUCACAAAAGCAAAAGGUCGUGUCCAAAAUCCAGGGACAGAGUUUUCAUCUAUUUCUGGAUGAAAGAACAGGAUGUGGGAACCAAAACUGUGGUCAGCUCUCUUACAGCACACAACAGUGGUGAGUUAGGCAAAGCAUCCUUCUAUUUUUAACGGAUCUCCAAGCUUCGUCAGAGGACCUUGCUGCUGACUAAUCUUGCCGAAGCGUCUUUUUCUGAAUUGCAUAAAUGCCAUCCACACAGGCUGAAGAACACUGGAGAGAAAAACUGCAAAGACACAGGUCACGUUAUAAAUAGUGUAUAAACAGGAGCGGAGUGUUCCGGGCCACAGCUCUUUGGAAGUCCUCUAGGAUUUCGUGGUUGAGCCACGCAGACAUGAAACGAGAAGCUGUUCAUUUGUUUGAGCUGAAUUAAUGGCUGAUGGUUCUUUUUGUUGUUGUUGUUGUUGUUUAUUUGUUGUUUAUUUGUUCGCUUCACUCCCUAUCCUUCAUCCCAAAGUACAACAAGGGCUGCUUUUUUACACUGUAUGAAAAUGUAUGCAGAUUUUUCAGCAAAACAACCUUUUAUUUGUAUGUCCUUGCACCAGGAGAAGGCAUGCUAAUAACCAUGCUUCAAAAGGCAGGGUGGGAGAGACGUCCUGGGUUCAAAUCCAGCUUCUUGAACAUGCCUUCAAGAACAAGGUUUACUGUUCCUCACUCAUAAAACUACAAUAUACUCAGAAAUUUGGUGAACUAAUUCAUUCAACGUGCCUGCUACCCCAGUAAGAACACUAACAGAUGCUGUUGUCUGGGAAGGAGGGAGAUACACUUGGUUAUACCACCUCACAAACAGUUCCUGAGUAAUAGCUAAUAAAUAAUAAGCUCAUUCUUUAAAUUUUGAGAACAGCAUCUUUUUGUCACAUCAAGUGUUUUGAAAGAAUGUAUUUAUUUUCUCCAAUGCAUUAAUGUGUCCGCUUGUACACCACAGGGCACUUAUUGCUUCAAUAUGAACAUUUCCCCACAUGCUCUCCUUUUGAAAACCAUUUGGAUUGAUUUCUUUCUCCUCUAAUUAAUAUAUCACAUUUACAGCAGGUGCACCGCCUGCUGUGGAAAAUCAAGACUUUCAAUUUUCAGGUCGUCAGCCACUGACAUCGCAGUCCGACUUGAAACUGUAUGAAAUUACAUGUGGCAUUUAGAAUUGAAUAACAGCUCUGAAUGCCUCUGUGUCUGUUGAGAAAAAUAACAUUCCCUUUGACCCGGCGUUGUCUUUUCCCUUCUUCAGCAAAUAAGUCACACUCAUGUCCAGAGAGCUUCUGUCGUUCUUUGCGAGUCAUCGACCAACUGUGAAAGCAAGCGCAAAUCAAUCAAAUGCCAAGUCUCUCCAGGGGACUGCCAUGUCCCCAGAAUCCUAGGCUUUAAGAGACAGCCACUUCCUUGGAGAUUCUUGGGCUCAACUCUUUGGAAAGCUGAUCAUUGAGAGGUGAUGCUGCUUCUGAGGUCAUCCCAGCUGGCUGGUGAAUAAAAUGGGGUGUGUAUUUCUAACUUAAAGACUUCUCAUGCAUCAUGUGCCAGCUCAACUCAUGGAUGUUUCAAACGCCUUUCCACAUUAUCAGGUGUUCAAUUGGCUACAUCAUGCAGGCUCAAUGCAGCCUACCGCUUGUUCUCGAAAUAGAGUGUUGCUGGAACACGGACAAGGUUGGGCCAGCAUCGUCUUCUCAAUGGGAUAAAAAGUUAAUCCAGUGCACCAGAGACCCUAUGAUGGCAAAGCCUCAACUCUUUCUCACCUGGCCUGUUACGGAGCUCAGCUGUAUGUCAAGCCUGGUUGAAAGUCCUUCUGUGCUGCUUUUACUCUGUGCAUCAGACGUUAUUGUCAGAACUUGAAAAAAAUAGAGUUUGGACUCAUAAAAAUGAACAAGAAGAAAGAAAAGCAGAAAGGGCCUGCAUUUAUUUAUUUAUUUUGGGUGGGAAGUGCUCACUGGGUUUUGCACAUGUCUUCUCUCUGUGUGUCUGUGGGGUGGAUAGGCUAUGUCUUAGGUUACACAUAAGGAAAGACAAGCACUAAGCUGCUUACAUUUAUAUCACUAAUACUUACCACAAGGAUUUGGAUCCAGCCUUGUCCAGUCUAAAACCCUGUUUAUGCUACUACACUAUAUAGUUUUUCAAGGUUGUCUCCCAAUUUAAAACUAUGUGAUCUAGCAUCCUCUAAAUUUAACUAAAAAUUUAAUUAAAUGUAAUCAUUUAAUUAAAAAUACAUUUAGUAGCAAGUCAUGUUUAGUAAAUAGCCAACGAUAGACAAAGUGGCCUUGUGGAUGGCAUCCUCACCCAUUCCUGCAAGUAGGUGGUUGGACCACAGAAGAGGAGGGAAAUACAUUGUGCAGCAGGCAAUUAGCAUUUUGUGUUAUUGAAGAAACCCAAUGGCUUGUAUUCAGUAGGUGGAACUCCUGUGUGUAUAACCAACUACACAAUUAAUUACAUAGGCAUCAUGUAGAUGUGCUUUGAUUUAAUGAACAGUCCCUCUUCUCCACGGCUUACUAAAAUUCUCCAAAUGAGUGUGUAUUGAGACUGCACAGUCAUCUCCAUCAUGGGCAUUCUUUAGAACAUAGAUUCCCAGGGCCUUCCACAGACACCUAAGACAGUGCACUUGAAUGUGGGUUUGGAGAUCUGUAAUUUUCUGCCUAUGCAGUUGAUCUUUUCAUUGUUGUCGUGUGUGGGGGGCGGGGGAGGUGUUUGCACGUAUGUGCAUGUGUGUGUGUAUGUGAAAAUCAGAGGACAGAUUUCAGGAGUAGGUUCUCUCUUUGCACCUUGUUGAGGUAAGACCUCUUCUGUUUCAGGAGCCCUGAACAUUCCAUGCUAGUUGGCCUGCAGUCUUCCAGUGAUUCUAUCUCUGCCUUCCAUCUGGCCUUAGGAGUAUGGCGGUUGCAAGUGCAAACCACCACACCUGGCUUUUUGUGGGUUUAGGAGAUCAAACACAGGUCAUCGGCUUCCACGGCAAGAGCUGUCACCCCCUGAUCCAUCACACCAGUCCUGUCCAGAUGAUAUUGACACUGAGCUGAGAUCUGAGGGUUCUGGAAGAGUAGGUCAGCAAGGGCCACAUCCUUGUCUCUGACCCAUACAGCCCCCCCCCUUGUGUCUGUGAUUCUACCCUCUUCCCAGAGACCCGUGCCAUGGUUAUAGAAGCAUUGUUCCCAGUCUUGGCUGAGGCUGGAGGUAGGUGUUGGGCAGCACACACCACCAUGUGUGUUUUCUCAUCAUCCAGAAUGUGUGGAACAUAAUGUCUUAUUCUUACCCGCCAUGGUUAGCUAUAGUUUAUUUCUGUCGUUGCAUUUCAAGCUUGCUUGCAUUUGUACAAAUUAGUCCACUGACAAACUUAACCCUGAUUUCUUUGAGCAUAAAAUGAGGUUUAGAGACAUCCAGACUUUAGAUAAUAAAAGGCCAUCAUCUCCUGUAUCAUGUUAUCAUCUUGUCUUCCUGUCUAGCUUUGGAAAAUGUCACUGAAAUGACUCUAGAUGAAAACCAAGAGGGGGUUUGAAUCCUGAACAUUUGGAAACUUGCUUGGUCCAUCUUUUGACUUGAUUUUUACCUUUGCAUUGUCCAGGUAUUUAAG